rnacentral:lncRNA from 1 species
UUGGAAUUUCUGGUCUCUGCAUUGAGGGGCUGUUGGUCUUUUGGAAAGAUGUGCUUAUUGAAUGGGACAAGCUUGCCCCAAGAGGCAUUGCUAGGGCUGCUCCCAGACCUACUUGUGAUUCAAGGCUGUGCUUCUCCUCUGCACGUGAGACAGACUGGGGCUGUGGCUGAGAUGUCACAUGGCAGAUAGGAUCACAAAUUUCUGUUGUAUCUGGAUGGAGAUCAGCAGGAGGAUCUAUGGGUACUUCAAAGAGGACAUCCUCUCCUGAAGAACAGAAGAACCUGAAAUGUUUGGAGCCUAAGACUGCUGUGAUUGCACCUGCCAUCUUAUGCAGAAAUGACCUGAAGACAGACUGAAACAACGUGUUCUACAGCCUGAAAAUAUCUACCUUGACUUACAGUUUUAUUAAUGCUGGUGUGAUCAGACUGGACAAAAAUUAGCAUAUGUUAUUAACUGAUCUAAUUCAAGUGCCAAUUCUUAAUAGAAACACAAAACAAUAAAAGCAAUUCAGAAAAU